GUGGGGAAUCUUCCGCAAUGGACGAAAGUCUGACGGAGCGACGCCGCGUGAGUGAAGAAGGCCUUCGGGUCGUAAAGCUCUGUCAUCAGAGACGAACGGCCGGUGGAGUGGAAAGCCACCGGAUUGACGGUACCUGAGAAGGAAGCCACGGCUAACUACGUGCCAGCAGCCGCGGUAAUACGUAGGUGGCAAGCGUUGUCCGGAAUUAUUGGGCGUAAAGCGCGCGCAGGUGGGAUCUUAAGUCCAUUUUUAAAGUUCGGAGCUCAACUCCGUGAUGGGAUGGAAACUGGGAUUCUUGAGUACCGGAGAGGAAAGCGGAAUUCCCCGUGUAGCGGUGAAAUGCGUAGAUAUGGGGAGGAACACCAGUGGCGAAGGCGGCUUUCUGGACGGUGUCUGACACUGAGGCGCGAAAGCCAGGGGAGCGAACGGGAUUAGAUACCCGUGUAGUCC
rnacentral:rRNA from 1 species